CGAGUGGCGGACGGGUGAGUAACGCGUGGGUAACCUGCCUCAUACAGGGGAAUAACAGUUGGAAACGGCUGCUAAAACCGCAUAAGCGCACAGUAUCGCAUGAUACAGUGUGAAAAACUCCGGUGGUAUGAGAUGGACCCGCGUCUGAUUAGCUAGUUGGUGAGGUAACGGCCCACCAAGGCAACGAUCAGUAGCCGGCCUGAGAGGGUGAACGGCCACAUUGGGACUGAGACACGGCCCAAACUCC
rnacentral:rRNA from 1 species